rnacentral:rRNA from 1 species
UACAGAGGGGGCAAGCGUUGUUCGGAAUUACUGGGCGUAAAGGGCGCGUAGGCGGCCUUCUAAGUCGAACGUGAAAUCCCCGGGCUCAACCCGGGAACUGCGUCCGAUACUGGAAGGCUUGAAUCCGGGAGAGGGAUGCGGAAUUCCAGGUGUAGCAGUGAAAUGCGUAGAGAUGUGGAGGAAUACCGAUGGCGAAGGCAGCCCCCUGGGCCAAUACUGACGCUCAUGCACGAAAGCGUGGGGAGCAAACAGG